rnacentral:rRNA from 1 species
GACGAACGCUGGCGGCGCGCCUAACACAUGCAAGUCGAACGAGAGAGAAGGAGCUUGCUUCUUCGAUCGAGUGGCGAACGGGUGAGUAACGCGUGAGGAACCUGCCUCAAAGAGGGGGACAACAGUUGGAAACGACUGCUAAUACCGCAUAAGCCCACGGGUCGGCAUCGACCAGAGGGAAAAGGAGCAAUCCGCUUUGAGAUGGCCUCGCGUCCGAUUAGCUAGUUGGUGAGGUAACGGCCCACCAAGGCGACGAUCGGUAGCCGGACUGAGAGGUUGAACGGCCACAUUGGGACUGAGACACGGCCCAGACUCCUACGGGAGGCAGCAGUGGGGAAUAUUGCACAAUGGGGGAAACCCUGAUGCAGCGACGCCGCGUGGAGGAAGAAGGUCUUCGGAUUGUAAACUCCUGU